rnacentral:lncRNA from 1 species
GGAAUGGGGAUAACCCUUGUUGGUUUGUUGAUGGUUAAAAUGGAAUUAUAAGUAGAUAACAGAUUUCUGAAGUCUUUACAGGUAUUGCUUGUAAGAGAAAGAGUGGUCCAUGUUAAAAUCACCUGCUAUAAAGUAAAUACAGUUUUUUUUCAUAAAAGAUAUCUAACAUGCUCUGAAAUUUAGUUAUAAACAAUUUAACGUCACUCGAUGGGGACCUGUAGAUGCAAACUACAUGGAACUUUUGUUUCACCAAUUUUGCAGGCUUCACUGGAGCACUCAAAAACAUAGUUUUCAGCUAAGACGUUCACUUCGUCGAUGGGACUGCUAACGAUCUCUUUGGAUACAUAUACAGCUGAGCCUCGACGACAAUAGCUAGACACUUGAAUAAGAUCAUUAAAGUUGUAAUUAGGCAUUCCAACGAUGUGUCAAAUAAAUUCAAAAUGGCGCUUGUAGGAUAUACACUGAUUAUUUACGUUUAAACAUUUAUGAUAUAUAUUUAAUUUAUUCUUUUAAUCAGUGCCAGAAUUUGUGGAGUGUAGUGAUUUUUCGCAGCAGUAACAAUUAUAAUAGUGUUUACAAGGUAUUUUCAAUAUAAUGCCUAUAACUUGCAUUGUAGUGGGUUAUGGAAGUCGUGGAAUGCGAGAUCGAGUGAGUUUUUACAGUGUCCCCAAUCACGAAUUCUCCGCACUAUCCUCAUGUAAAUGAGUUGUCAAGAAAGCGACGAGAAAUGUGGUUAGCUGCCAUAAAAAGGCAAGAUCUAACGGAGUCCAUUCUAAGAAAUCAGAGAGUUUGUAGCAGACAUUUCAUACAAGGUAUUUUUUACUCUCGUCCUUUUAAAUGGAGUAGCCUCACUGUAUUAGGUGGCAAAAUGAUAUAUAGCAAAUAUGAAAUACAUCGAGCAAUGUAUUAUUCAGGCAAGUAAGAUUUGUAUGUUUUAUUUUUCAGGAAAACCAAGUCCUUUAGAUGAUAAGGAUAACCCCGAUUGGGUUCCCUCCCAAAACAUGGGCCAUCUCUCAAGCCUUUAUCAAAAGGAAACAUGACAUGGACAGAAAACAGAGAGUCGAUAAAAGACAAAAACUGAUACACAAACACGACUCUGCAAAUCCUGUUAUGGAGAAGGAGCCAAAUGAUGAGGAUCCCCACCUAUGGUUGCGAUGGUUUAGCCUCGCAAACAGAUUUAACAAUGGAAGCACUUGAUAUAAAAUUCGAACAGUUGCAGUUUGCCUCUGAAAAAAUUGAAAAUUUGAAGUGCAAGAUUGAACAUUCUCCUCUUGGACUAAUUAUUGAUACUGUAAAAUGGACCUAUUACACAGGAUUUGAGUAUGACAUUGUCAACCAAAUCAUAUUUGUGGAAGUAAAACCAUGUAUUCCCACUACGUCAACAACGUUUCUCAGCCCUUUCAAUCGAUUGUUACUUACUCUUGUAAAGGUGCGACUGAACUUACAGUGUCACAAUUUAGCUUACCGUUUUGGAAUUGCUCCAACAACAGCAUCAACAUACUUUUACAAUAUUAUACAUAUUCUGUAUCAAAGACUAAAAUCAUUAAUAAUUUGACCUACCCGUUCAGUAAACCGUAAAAAUAUUCCAUCAUAUUUUACAGAGGCAUUUCAGGAUAAGACCACUAUUAUUGUUGACUGUUUUGAAAUUUUUAUAGAGAAACCUAAUAAGUAUCUUACUCAGCAACAGUGCUGCUCAAAUUAUAAACAUCAUACUACA